rnacentral:rRNA from 1 species
GACGAACGCUGGCGGCGUGCUUAACACAUGCAAGUCGAGCGAUGAAGUUUCUUCGGAAAUGGAUUAGCGGCGAACGGGUGAGGAACACGUGAAGAAUCUGCCCUCCACUUUGGGAUAACACAGGGAAACCUGUGCUAAUACCGAAUAUUGAAACAUAAGUGGCAUCACUGAGUUUUGAAAGAAUUUCGGUGGAGGAUGACUUCGCGGCCUAUCAGCUAGUUGGUGAGGUAAUGGCUCACCAAGGCAACGACGGGUAGCCGGCCUGAGAGGGCGACCGGCCACACUGGGACUGAGACACGGCCCAGACUCCUACGGGAGGCAGCAGUGGGGAAUAUUGGGCAAUGGAGGAAACUCUGACCCAGCGACGCCGCGUGCGGGAUGAAGGCCUUCGGGUUGUAAACCGCUUUCAGUAGGGAAGAAGCGAAAGUGACGGUACCUACAAAAGAAGCACCGGCUAACUAUGUGCCAGCCGCCGCCGUAA